rnacentral:rRNA from 1 species
CAGUCGCCGCGGUAAUACAGAGGGUGCGAGCGUUAAUCGGAUUUACUGGGCGUAAAGCGUGCGUAGGCGGCUAAUUGAGUCGGAUGUGAAAUCCCCGAGCUUAACUUGGGAAUUGCAUUCGAUACUGGUUAGCUAGAGUGUGGGAGAGGAUGGUAGAAUUCCAGGUGUAGCGGUGAAAUGCGUAGAGAUCUGGAGGAAUACCGAUGGCGAAGGCAGCCAUCUGGCCUAAUACUGACGCUGAGGUACGAAAGCAUGGGGAGCAAACAGGAUUAGAUACCCCAGUAGUCCCUGUCUCUUAUCC